AUGAAGGCUCUUCUUUUAAAUGAUAGCAACCGGCAACUGCCAUGGUUCCAAGACCAAGAACUUCCUACUCAACCAAUAAUGCACUUCUUUCAGUUCAUUCUAACUUCUAAGACGUUAACCACCAAGAAAAGGAACUUCUCAAGCUUCUGUUUGAGCCAAGUUAAGCAUGGCUGCUUACAAUUUCCAAUUAUGGGGCACAUGGUCAUCCUUACGCAUUUACUGAUGCCGCAUGGCCGCAAGUUUGCACAACUUUUUGCUUCAAGGUUUCUUUUAGAUAAUCAUCUUUGGUCCUGCAUUAUACAUGACAUUGUCUGGUUGUAUCCCGUGAGAGCUGAAGAGGCACAAUCAACUAUGAACCAUGCCAAGUGGAAGCAGGUGGCCGCUUUCAUGGUUGGCGGGAGCAUCUUGGCCUGGUACCAUGCGCGACAGUCCCACGGAAUGUACCAUCGCCUUAAUGGUGCCAGAGCCGGUGUAGUGUGGCGAAGUCCUCCCGCAGCCCGGGUCGCUCUUAUCCCUCAAGCAGCGCCGACGGCGCGGGACCCAGUGGGCUGGGCCUGCGUCGGCAGUGCCGGUGUCCAUCUCCUCCGUCGAGCGGCGGCGGCGCAGCGGGACGCAGUGGGCCUGACUUGCAUCGGCAGCAAAGGGGUCUCUCCUCCGUCAAGCAGCGGCGGCAGCGCGGGACCCAGCGGGCUCGGCCUGCGUUGGCGGCGGCGGGGUCCAUCUCCACCGUCGAGCAGCGGCGGCAAGGUCCAUCUCCUCCCUCAAGCUGCGGCGGGCUUGAGACACAGCGGGCUCGGCCACGAAGAUGGAUUUCUCCGACGGGGCAUUCGAUUCCUGGCCUCUGUUCCUCGACCUCGCGUCAGGCACAUAUGCCCCAGCGGUCGUUCCUCCUCGUGGUCAGUGACGCAGAUGCCGCCGCUGUCAUUCCUUGCACAACCAAGGAUGCGGAACUCCUCUACGGUUCAGAAGUUGAUAAUCCAUUACAGUUCUUUCAUUGUGCAAGCAACCUCAGGUUGUUGCCUGGAUCCUAUGAACAACAUGUACAGUCAUGCUGUCGUUAUCCGUUUACCAUCAAUUAUUCCUGUUAUAGGCUGGUCCUCUUUUGAGGCUACUGAUUGCAUUAGGAAGAGGAUGUUUUCUUUCGAAAAGGAGCACGAUAGCUUGCAGAUGGUGCUAUGGUGCAAACAUGUAGUGGACUUGGAGGCCAGGAUUUUAGCUACAGGAAAAGAAUGA
rnacentral:rRNA from 1 species